rnacentral:rRNA from 1 species
AGAGUUUGAUCCUGGCUCAGGAUGAACGCUGACAGAAUGCUUAACACAUGCAAGUCAACUUGAACUUCGGUUUGGGUGGCGGACGGGUGAGUAACGCGUAAAGAACUUGCCUCACAGCUAGGGACAACAUUUGGAAACGAAUGCUAAUACCUGAUAUUAUGAUUUUAGGGCAUCCUAGAAUUAUGAAAGCUAUAUGCGCUGUGAGAGAGCUUUGCGUCCCAUUAGCUAGUUGGAGAGGUAACGGCUCACCAAGGCGAUGAUGGGUAGCCGGCCUGAGAGGGUGAACGGCCACAAGGGGACUGAGACACGGCCCUUACUCCUACGGGAGGCAGCAGUGGGGAAUAUUGGACAAUGGACCAAGAGUCUGAUCCAGCAAUUCUGUGUGCACGAUGAAGUUUUUCGGAAUGUAAAGUGCUUUCAGUUGGGAAGAAAAAAAUGACGGUACCAACAGAAGAAGUGACGGCUAAAUACGUGCCAGCAGCCGCGGUAAUACGUAUGUCACAAGCGUUAUCCGGAUUUAUUGGGCGUAAAGCGCGUCUAGGUGGUUAUGUAAGUCUGAUGUGAAAAUGCAGGGCUCAACUCUGUAUUGCGUUGGAAACUGUGUAACUAGAGUACUGGAGAGGUAAGCGGAACUACAAGUGUAGAGGUGAAAUUCGUAGAUAUUUGUAGGAAUGCCGAUGGGGAAGCCAGCUUACUGGACAGAUACUGACGCUGAAGCGCGAAAGCGUGGGUAGCAAACAGGAUUAGAUACCCUGGUAGUCCACGCU